GCCAUUUUCCUAUUCUUACCCAAUGCCAUUGCCCAUGUGGAUGCCGCCUUACUCAAUAAGGAGCAGCGGUGCCAUUCACAUUGGGUCAAUGGGGCAGCUGAAACCUAUCCCAGCAGGCUUUGGGUGAAAGGCAGACUUCACUGGACUGGUCUCCAUCCAUCACAGGGCACAUAGAGAAAAACAACCAUUCACAAUUUCAAUCAGUUGGAAUUGAACCCAAGCAGCCGUCACAGAGUAUAUUCCCGAUCGGAACGUACAGUAUGUGCUCUGCAAAAAUGGAUGGUGUUAAUGUCUUUGGUAAUGCCUGGCGUGCAGCAAGGCCUCCUGAGAAGAACUUUGCCCCUCAGCCUAAGUGUGCGCGCGCCUCCGAGCGCCCACACACGCAUGCACACACACUGCAAGGCAGUCAAUGGCGCUCCAGUGUGGUGCGCUGAUUGCGUUGGUCAAUGUGCUCCACUGUGUGACUGCAUGCCCCCAAGACUGAGGCUGAGUCUAGACACGAGUCAGCCAAGCCGUCCUGCUGACCUAUAUCCUACAGUUACACUAAGCGAGAGACGCAGGGAAAACAGGGAGAGAGGGGACGAGCGAGCGAAUGGAGAGAAAGAUGGGGGGAAGACACGAGAGAUGAGAGUGCGGGGAGUGAAAGGCUGCCACUGAGCACGAGAAUAAAUUGAGGGAUGGGGAAGCGAUAGAACGG